GUUUUGGUGGCCUAGUGGUUAGAGCAUCCUCCUCUGAUGCGGGAGGUCGUGGGUUUUAUCCCCGGUCGAAUCAUACCAAAGACU